rnacentral:rRNA from 1 species
AUAUCAAUAAGCGGGGAAAAGAAACUAACAAGGAUUCCCCUAGUAACUGCGAGUGAAGCGGGAAAAGCUCAAAUUUAAAAUCUGGCGGUCUCCGGCCGUCCGAGUUGUAAUCUAGAGAAGUGUUAUCCGCGCUGGACCGUGUACAAGUCUCCUGGAAUGGAGCGUCAUAGAGGGUGAGAAUCCCGUCUUUGACACGGACUGCCAGGGCUUUGUGAUGCGCUCUCAAAGAGUCGAGUUGUUUGGGAAUGCAGCUCAAAAUGGGUGGUAAAUUCCAUCUAAAGCUAAAUAUUGGCGAGAGACCGAUAGCGAACAAGUACCGUGAGGGAAAGAUGAAAAGAACUUUGGAAAGAGAGUUAAACAGUACGUGAAAUUGCUGAAAGGGAAACGCUUGAAGUCAGUCGCGUUGGCCGGGGAUCAACCUUGCUUUUGCUGGGCGUACUUUCCGGUUGACGGGUCAGCAUCAAUUUUGACCGUUGGAUAAAGUCCAGGGGAAUGUGGCAUCUUCGGAUGUGUUAUAGCCCUUGGUCGCAUACAACGGUUGGGAUUGAGGAACUCAGCACGCCGCAAGGCCGGGUACUUGUACCACGUUCGUGCUUAGGAUGCUGGCAUAAUGGCUUUAAUCGACCCGUCUUGAAACACGGACCAAGGAGUCUAACAUGCCUGCGAGUGUUUGGGUGGAAAACUCGGACGCGUAAUGAAAGUGAAAGUUGAGAUCCCUGUCGCGGGGAGCAUCGACGCCCGGACCAGACCUUUUGUGACGGAUCCGCGGUAGAGCAUGUAUGUUGGGACCCGAAAGAUGGUGAACUAUGCCUGAAUAGGGUGAAGCCAGAGGAAACUCUGGUGGAGGCUCGUAGCGAUUCUGACGUGCAAAUCGAUCGUCAAAUUUGGGUAUAGGGGCGAAAGACUAAUCGAACCCAUCUAGUAGCU